rnacentral:rRNA from 1 species
GACGUAGGGCGCGAGCGUUUGUCCGGAUUUAUUGGGCGUAAAGAGCUCGUAGGCGGCUUGUCGCGUCGUCCGUGAAAACCCACAGCUCAACUGUGGGCUUGCGGUCGAUACGGGCAGACUAGAGUUCGGUAGGGGAGUCUGGAAUUCCUGGUGUAGCGGUGAAAUGCGCAGAUAUCAGGAGGAACACCGAUGGCGAAGGCAGGUCUCUGGGCAUUAACUGACGCUGAGGAGCGAAAGCAUGGGGGAGCGAACAGG